CAUACUUGUUCCGCUCUAGCAGCACGUAAAUAUUGGCGUAGUAAAAUAAAUAUUAAACACCAAUAUUAUUGUGCUGCUUUAGCGUGACAGGGA
rnacentral:pre_miRNA from 1 species